rnacentral:rRNA from 2 species
UUAAGCGACUAAGCGUACACGGUGGAUGCCCUGGCAGUCAGAGGCGAUGAAGGACGUGCUAAUCUGCGAUAAGCGUCGGUGAGGUGAUAUGAACCGUUAUAACCGGCGAUUUCCGAAUGGGGAAACCCAGUGUGAUUCGUCACACUAUCAUUAACUGAAUCCAUAGGUUAAUGAGGCGAACCGGGGGAACUGAAACAUCUAAGUACCCCGAGGAAAAGAAAUCAACCGAGAUUCCCCCAGUAGCGGCGAGCGAACGGGGAGGAGCCCAGAGCCUGAAUCAGUGUGUGUGUUAGUGGAAGCGUCUGGAAAGGCGCGCGAUACAGGGUGACAGCCCCGUACACAAAAAUGCACAUACUGUGAGCUCGAUGAGUAGGGCGGGACACGUGGUAUCCUGUCUGAAUAUGGGGGGACCAUCCUCCAAGGCUAAAUACUCCUGACUGACCGAUAGUGAACCAGUACCGUGAGGGAAAGGCGAAAAGAACCCCGGCGAGGGGAGUGAAAAAGAACCUGAAACCGUGUACGUACAAGCAGUGGGAGCCUCUUAAUGGGGUGACUGCGUACCUUUUGUAUAAUGGGUCAGCGACUUAUAUUCUGUAGCAAGGUUAACCGAAUAGGGGAGCCGAAGGGAAACCGAGUCUUAACUGGGCGUUAAGUUGCAGGGUAUAGACCCGAAACCCGGUGAUCUAGCCAUGGGCAGGUUGAAGGUUGGGUAACACUAACUGGAGGACCGAACCGACUAAUGUUGAAAAAUUAGCGGAUGACUUGUGGCUGGGGGUGAAAGGCCAAUCAAACCGGGAGAUAGCUGGUUCUCCCCGAAAGCUAUUUAGGUAGCGCCUCGUGAAUUCAUCUCCGGGGGUAGAGCACUGUUUCGGCAAGGGGGUCAUCCCGACUUACCAACCCGAUGCAAACUGCGAAUACCGGAGAAUGUUAUCACGGGAGACACACGGCGGGUGCUAACGUCCGUCGUGAAGAGGGAAACAACCCAGACCGCCAGCUAAGGUCCCAAAGUCAUGGUUAAGUGGGAAACGAUGUGGGAAGGCCCAGACAGCCAGGAUGUUGGCUUAGAAGCAGCCAUCAUUUAAAGAAAGCGUAAUAGCUCACUGGUCGAGUCGGCCUGCGCGGAAGAUGUAACGGGGCUAAACCAUGCACCGAAGCUGCGGCAGCGACACUAUGUGUUGUUGGGUAGGGGAGCGUUCUGUAAGCCUGUGAAGGUGGCCUGUGAGGGUUGCUGGAGGUAUCAGAAGUGCGAAUGCUGACAUAAGUAACGAUAAAGCGGGUGAAAAGCCCGCUCGCCGGAAGACCAAGGGUUCCUGUCCAACGUUAAUCGGGGCAGGGUGAGUCGACCCCUAAGGCGAGGCCGAAAGGCGUAGUCGAUGGGAAACAGGUUAAUAUUCCUGUACUUGGUGUUACUGCGAAGGGGGGACGGAGAAGGCUAUGUUGGCCGGGCGACGGUUGUCCCGGUUUAAGCGUGUAGGCUGGUUUUCCAGGCAAAUCCGGAAAAUCAAGGCUGAGGCGUGAUGACGAGGCACUACGGUGCUGAAGCGACAAAUGCCCUGCUUCCAGGAAAAGCCUCUAAGCAUCAGGUAACAUCAAAUCGUACCCCAAACCGACACAGGUGGUCAGGUAGAGAAUACCAAGGUGCUUGAGAGAACUCGGGUGAAGGAACUAGGCAAAAUGGUGCCGUAACUUCGGGAGAAGGCACGCUGAUAUGUAGGUGAAGCGACUUGCUCGUGGAGCUGAAAUCAGUCGAAGAUACCAGCUGGCUGCAACUGUUUAUUAAAAACACAGCACUGUGCAAACACGAAAGUGGACGUAUACGGUGUGACGCCUGCCCGGUGCCGGAAGGUUAAUUGAUGGGGUUAGCGGUAACGCGAAGCUCUUGAUCGAAGCCCCGGUAAACGGCGGCCGUAACUAUAACGGUCCUAAGGUAGCGAAAUUCCUUGUCGGGUAAGUUCCGACCUGCACGAAUGGCGUAAUGAUGGCCAGGCUGUCUCCACCCGAGACUCAGUGAAAUUGAACUCGCUGUGAAGAUGCAGUGUACCCGCGGCAAGACGGAAAGACCCCGUGAACCUUUACUAUAGCUUGACACUGAACAUUGAGCCUUGAUGUGUAGGAUAGGUGGGAGGCUUUGAAGUGUGGACGCCAGUCUGCAUGGAGCCGACCUUGAAAUACCACCCUUUAAUGUUUGAUGUUCUAACGUGGGCCCCUUACCGGGGUUGCGGACAGUGUCUGGUGGGUAGUUUGACUGGGGCGGUCUCCUCCUAAAGAGUAACGGAGGAGCACGAAGGUUGGCUAAUCCUGGUCGGACAUCAGGAGGUUAGUGCAAUGGCAUAAGCCAGCUUGACUGCGAGCGUGACGGCGCGAGCAGGUGCGAAAGCAGGUCAUAGUGAUCCGGUGGUUCUGAAUGGAAGGGCCAUCGCUCAACGGAUAAAAGGUACUCCGGGGAUAACAGGCUGAUACCGCCCAAGAGUUCAUAUCGACGGCGGUGUUUGGCACCUCGAUGUCGGCUCAUCACAUCCUGGGGCUGAAGUAGGUCCCAAGGGUAUGGCUGUUCGCCAUUUAAAGUGGUACGCGAGCUGGGUUUAGAACGUCGUGAGACAGUUCGGUCCCUAUCUGCCGUGGGCGCUGGAGAACUGAGGGGGGCUGCUCCUAGUACGAGAGGACCGGAGUGGACGCAUCACUGGUGUUCGGGUUGUCAUGCCAAUGGCACUGCCCGGUAGCUAAAUGCGGAAGAGAUAAGUGCUGAAAGCAUCUAAGCACGAAACUUGCCCCGAGAUGAGUUCUCCCUGACUCCUUGAGAGUCCUGAAGGAACGUUGAAGACGACGACGUUGAUAGGCCGGGUGUGUAAGCGCAGCGAUGCGUUGAGCUAACCGGUACUAAUGAACCGUGAGGCUUAACCUU